CGGGGAGGGGCGGGCCCGACUCCCCAAGCUGGAGAGAACAGGGCAGUAGGCGCUGCGGAGGCACCUCGGGUGACUGCGAGGCGAGGCACUGGCAGCGGCUUCUGGACAGCGCAAUGAGUGGACGGUGACUUCCAGGUCUGCAGACGAGAAGAGAAGAUGAAGGAAGAUUGUCCACCCAGUUCUCACGUGCCCAUCAGCGACAGCAAGUCCAUUCUGAAGUCGGAGCUCUUAAGCCUGCUGAAAACCUACAACUGCUACCAUGAGGGCAGAAGCUUUCAGCUGAGACACAGAGAGGAAGAAGGGGCUCUGAUCAUCGAGGGGCUCCUCAACAUCUCCUGGGGACUGAGGCGGCCCAUCCGGCUCCAGAUACAGGAUGACAGGGAGCGCGUGCAUCUCUCCUCAGCCUCCUGGACACCCGGACGGUCCAGCUUCCACCCAAAGGAGCCACCUCUUCAGGAUGGCAAAGUCACUGCCCAGGAACCAAGUACCCAGGCUGAGCACACGGAGGAGAGUUCCAAAGACGGCUCAGAGCCCCUGGAGGAGGAUGAGGAGACCCCACAGCUGAUGCGGACUAAGAGCGAUGCAGCCUGUGUGAUCCAGAGGAGGCCCAGGUGCCGCGCACCUGGUGAAGCCCAGAGGAUCCGGAGACAUCGGUUCUCCAUCAAUGGGCACUUUUACAACCACAAGACCUCCGUGUUUACUCCAGCCUAUGGGUCCAUGACCAACGUGAGAGUCAACAGCACCAUGACGACCUUGCAGGUGCUCACAUUGCUGCUGAACAAGUUCCGAGUGGAAAAUGGCCCCAGUGAGUUCGCACUCUACAUUGUUCACGAGUCUGGGGGUAAGUAUUUGCCUUUGCUUCCCGAUCAUAAACACAGAGGUCUGUGUCCAUUUAGCAAGCUUACUGACUGUGCUCCAGGGACGGGGGGGCAAGAGUGGGGUGCGCAGCUGGGUUGUGCAGCCUGCACAGGACCGGUGCCCUUCCCAGCCUUGGGACACAGUGUCCACAUCACGAGUGCCCCUCCCAGAUUCAAGUCCAAGCACAUUCAUCAUCCCUUUCUGAAUCCCACCAGAAUCAUCUCCAAUGGGAAGCUGCCAUCUCCAGUGGGUUUGGUCGGGAGAAGUGAGCAUCCAGGUCUUCAAGGUGGAUCUGAAGCCCCUUCCCCAGUGAGAACUGCUGCUGCAGAGCCUGUACCGUGUGUCCCUCUGUGCAGUGCUGGCAUGGCUCAGAUCUGAUAACUGGGCAGUCUUGGACUCCCCAAGUCCGCUUCCCCAUCCCCCACUCCUUUGGUCCCUGUUCCUCUCUGAACUGGACCUUCACUGAAUGGCAUGACCACACAUCAUCAGGGCCAUGUUGAUCACACAACAUCUGGAAGUGUUGCUGGGCCCCCUGAACAUCUUUCUUCUGUCAUAUUCCUGUCCUGGGACGAAGAGAUGCAGUCCUGAUACCCCAUCAAUUUUAUCUACCAUCUUUUUUUGCAGAGCGGACAAAAUUAAAAGACAGUGAGUACCCUCUGAUUUCCAGAAUCCUGCAUGGGCCAUGUGAGAAGAUUGCCAGGAUAUUCCUGAUGGAAGCCGACUUGGGCGAGGAAGUCCCCCACGAUGUCGCUCAGUACAUUAAGUUUGAAAUGCCGGUGCUGGACAGUUUUGUUGAAAAAUUAAAAGAAGAGGAGGAAAGAGAAAUAAUCAAACUGACCAUGAAGUUCCAAGCCCUGCGUCUGACCAUGCUCCAGCGCCUGGAGCAGCUGGUAGAAGCCAAGUAGCCCACCAGCGCCAGCCUCUCCCAGGAGCCAGUGCACCCUAAGUGCUGAUGGCUGGGCCCUGAUUGGUCACACCAGCUGAGGAGCGCAGCACCAGUGCUUCUACCUGUCCACCUGCCUGGGUACUGUGGGGCCCAUGUUCCUGGCUCUUGGCCCCAAGGUGAACACUCACAGGGCCCAGACUCAAGCCUGAGGAGCCAGGAACUUGCUGGGUGGGGUCUGCAUGUGAGACUACCCUGAGCUGUGAGCAGCCCUGAAGCUGUGACAUGGGCCAUUAUGUAGUUGGAUGGCCUGGCCAGUCCUGUUCACGCCACACCUCUCCUGUUUAGGAGAACAGAAUGUGACAUAGCUUCUGGGGAUGGAGCUUCUGGGCACCAUCUACUUUCUCAGUGCCCAGCCCAGGGCUUCUGAAGAACUGCCAGCCCUAAUCCUCACCAAGCAUGUGAACCACUGGACCCCUGUUUGCCCUCACCUCAUGCUGCCACUCAGAAACUCUGCUGGGAAAAGAGAGGGCUGCCAGCAGGUGUGGUGUGCAAUGCUCCCAACCAUCACUUCACCAGGAAUACCUGGCCCUCAAGCCUCCAGUGUCACUCCAUGAGCCUCACAUAGCCCAGCACCCUGGAGGCAGAGGUCAGACCAGGAAUAAGGCCACCAGAAGCCCAUCUUCUGUCUGCAGCACUCACUCAGAACUUCCUCAGCUAGACCUGAAGAAAUUCUUGUGAGGAGCUAGCUGCAAGAAAUGUGACAAUUUGAACACAUGGAGGAGGUGACUCCUAUGGCACUGAAAGGCUGCUGCCCAGGUAGCUGAGAGUCCAGGAACUGUCCAGGAACUCUUGGGCAGUGGCUUGGGGAAGCCAUGUUCGGCCCCAUCGCUGAUCUCCCUUAGACACCUGUGUGCCUCUUGUCCUCUCUGAGUGUGAAUUGUCCCCUCUCAAUACUCCCAUCAAAGAGGUGCCUCAAGGAAAAAUGUCUGUUCAAGGAGAAAGGGCUUUGAAAUCCCUGGGGCCAGAUACUGAACAAUUUGGCUUUGCCAGCUGAUGGAGAAUUUCUGGAAUGAAUGAUUUGGUCUUUGCAAAAUUAUGCAACAGUUUAUAUCAGUCAUGUGAAGUGUUUAUCCAAAACAGAGCAAGCUGGAGACCAAAUUCUCCCACUGGGACCUGUGAAUAGUGAAUUUAAAGGGGAAAACUGUAAGGUCCCCAAUAUAGGGGAGAUUCCAUCCCAGCCUCCUGGGACAUCUCCUCACCAGCACCCUCAGAGAGCAGAGUUGGGAGCAGCUGUGCCAUUUGAACCCACAGUUCAGGGUGAAUUUCACACCAUGACUGUCCCAACUGUCUUCACAGAGGCAUGUGCAGAGAUGGCCAGGGGAGGCCCCCCACAGUUUCUGUCUUCUCUGCUCUCCUUUGGAGGCAUAGUUUCUUAGGUACUCAAUAAAAUUGUGCUGUAUUGAACUGAA